CCCGCCCCGAGCGCCGCCCCCGCCCCGAGCACCGCCCGCCCGCCGGCCCCGGCCCGGUCUCGCCUCGCCCCGGGUUCGCCGCGCCAGCACCGCCAGCAGCCGCAGCAGCGGAGGCAGCGGCGCGCCCCGCCACCAUGAAGGUGACCGUGGACUUCGAGGAGUGCCUGAAGGACUCGCCGCGCUUCAGGGCAGCUCUAGAAGAGGUAGAAGGAGAUGUGACCGAGCUGGAACUGAAACUUGACAAGCUGGUGAAGCUUUGUAUUGCAAUGAUUGACACUGGGAAAGCAUUUUGUACAGCCAACAAGCAGUUCAUGAAUGGAAUUCGAGACCUUGCACAAUAUUCCUGUAAAGAUACAUUGGUUGAGGCCAGUUUGAUGAAGUUCUCUGACACCUUACAGGAAAUGAUUAAUUAUCAUAAUAUUCUGUUUGACCAAAUCCAAAGAUCAAUUAAAACACAGCUUCAGACUUUCGUUAAAGAAGAUAUUAGGAAAUUUAAAGAUGCAAAGAAACAGUUUGAAAAAGUGAGUGAAGAAAAGGAGAAUGCUCUGGUGAAAAAUGCCCAAGUUCAAAGAAAUAAGCAACAUGAGGUAGAGGAAGCAACCAAUAUUUUGACUGCAACACGGAAGUGUUUUCGACACAUAGCUCUGGAUUAUGUUCUUCAGAUCAAUGUUCUUCAAUCUAAAAGGAGAGCAGAAAUCUUAAAAUCGAUGUUAUCGUUCAUGUAUGCACAUCUGGCUUUUUUCCAUCAAGGCUAUGAUCUGUUUGGUGAACUUGAGCCCUACAUGAAAGAACUUGGUGCACAGCUGGAUCAGUUGGCUGUAGAUGCUGCGAAGGAGAAGAGAGAUAUGGAGCAAAAGCACUCCACUAUUCAACAAAAGGCUGCUUUACAGGAUUAUUCCAGUGAUGAUACUAAACUAGAAUACAAUGUAGAUGCAGCCAAUGGCAUUGUUAUGGAAGGUUAUUUAUUCAAGCGAGCCAGCAAUGCCUUCAAGACUUGGAACAGGAAAAAGCCAGAUCACAUCAGGCGCUGGUUCUCAAUACAAAAUAACCAACUUGUGUACCAGAAGAAAUUUAAGGAUAAUCCCACAGUAGUUGUUGAAGACUUGCGGCUCUGCACAGUUAAACACUGUGAAGACAUAGAAAGACGUUUCUGUUUUGAGGUGGUUUCUCCAACAAAGAGCUGCAUGCUUCAGGCUGACUCGGAAAAGCUGCGGCAGGCAUGGAUUAAGGCUGUUCAGACCAGUAUUGCCACAGCAUAUAGAGAAAAAGGGGAUGAAUCUGAGAAACAGGAAAAGAAAUCAUCCCCUUCUACAGGGAGCCUAGAAUCUGGGAGUGAGACAAAAGAGAAGUUGUUGAAAGGAGAGAGUGCUCUGCAGAGAGUCCAGUGCAUUGCUGGUAAUGCUGCCUGCUGUGACUGUGGUUUGGCAGAUCCUCGCUGGGCCAGUAUCAACCUGGGAAUCACACUGUGCAUCGAGUGCUCUGGGAUACACAGGAGCUUGGGAGUCCACUUUUCAAAAGUAAGAUCUUUAACAUUGGAUUCAUGGGAGCCUGAACUCCUAAAGCUUAUGUGUGAAUUGGGAAAUGAUGUUAUAAAUAGAAUAUAUGAAGCGAAGUUGGAAAAAGUGGGAGUAAAGAAGCCACAAUCUGGAAGUCAAAGGCAGGAGAAGGAGGCAUACAUCAGAGCAAAAUAUGUGGAAAGAAAAUUUGUAGAGAAGCAAGCUGCAUCAGUACCUCUGCCUGAGCCUGGAACAAAAGUUUUGCCUCCAAGUCAGGAAGAGAAAAGGCACAGUGGCCCUGAAAAAUCCCUUUUGGCAGGGGAGCAAGGUGCAGCAUCUCAAAAAGCGGUUGCUGUAAGUAGCGACGAGGCGAGGCGGGAGUCUCUGUUCUGUCCUGAUGAGCUUGAUUCACUCUUCUCCUACUUUGAUACCUCUUCAAAACUCCGUAGUAUCCGAAGCAGUGACAGUGGGAUCCAGCCAAGCACUGAUGACAGCAGAGAACACCUUGCCUCUACUAUAUCAGCCAACAGUUUGUAUGAACCAGAAGGAGACAAGCAAGAGUCUCCAGUGUUCUGUGACUCCAAGCAGCCUAGUCCAGGAUUGCAGUUGUAUCAAGCUGCCUUUGAGAAAAAUCUUCCUGACAUGGCAGAAGCAUUGGCUCAUGGAGCUGAAGUAAACUGGGUCAACGUGGAAGAAAACAAAGCAACACCACUCAUUCAGGCAGUGCGAGGGGGUUCAUUGGUUACUUGUGAAUUUUUGCUGCAGAAUGGGGCCAACGUGAACAUCCGAGACAUGAAAGGGAGGGGGCCCCUGCACCACGCCACAGUUCUGGGACACACUGGGCAAGUGUGCUUAUUCCUAAAACGAGGAGCAAACCAGCAUGCCACUGAUGAAGAUGGGAAAGAUCCAUUGAGUAUAGCAGUGGAAGCUGCAAAUGCAGAUAUUGUAACACUGUUGCGUUUAGCAAGGAUGAAUGAAGAAAUGCGUGAAUCAGAAGGACUCUAUGGGCAGCCAGGUCAAUACUCUUCUAAUAACCACACUGAAAUGCAGUAUAAGAAGUGUAUACAGGAAUUUAUCAGUUUACAAUUAGAUUCUUAGUGUCUGUAGGAAAUUUAAGAUUGCUUCAUACAACAGUGUUUUUUAUAAACCACCACAUUCUAAAGCUUCAUUGAAAUUCAGUGGUGUGACUGUCAGAGUACUUAGGAAACCUAAAAGGAGACUGUUUAAAGAGCAUCAUUAUAGCAGUGUGUUGCUACAGCCAUGACCACCCUAUUUUGCUGGUAGUUGUCCACAGUUUUCUCCUAUUGCUGUUUCAUUGACAUUUGUGUCAUGUUAGGAUUUACCUGACAUUAUUUAGUAGCAGCUUUCUGACUCAGCUUACUUAGAGACUAUUGAAGAGUUCAUCUUAUUCCAGGACGCCAUUCUCCUUCCUGUGGAAUGGUCCACUUUUUCUUUUUUAAGAAAAAAAUGCUUGCACACCAAUGUAAAAAAUGUACAUCAAAUAUUUCAAACUGCCUCCAGACAAAAAUAGGAAAGUAUUAUUUCCUUAAACUUUAUUUUUAAAUAUUUUUAUUUGUUAAGAUACUAAUAAGAAACAAAGCAGUCAUUCUUAAGUAUGUAUUUUUGUAUGCAGAGUUUCUUUCUGAUUGGUUAAAAAACAAAUAGAAGCUGGCAGAUACUUGAGCCAAUUCCAGCUAGAAAGUAACAAAUUAUAUUUAAUGCAUAUGUACAACUUUAUUCUCAGGCACUCAGACCUAAUUUACACCGUGCUCUGAUGUGAUAUUUGCUUCCAUAGGAAGGUAAUUUAAUUUCAUGCAAGUACCAAUAAUGAAGGCACACUUGACUGUGUAGUUAGACAGCUAAAAACACCCUGCUGUUCCUGGCAGACGUGAAAGGUGAACCUUGUUUUUCAGGCUGAGUGCUGAGUGCUCUCAGUUCACUCCUAUAAAGCCCUGAUGUGUUUUCCACUGGUUCAUGAGGAUUGGGCAGGGGGAUGUUACCAGAGUGGAGCAGUAGAAUCUAGAGACUGCAGCUGAUGCAAUCUCAUCCACACACUUUACAGCUGGUGAGGUGAGAUUGACAGUGAAGAGUGGAUUUGCCACAACAGGCAGAGCUUGCCCAAAAUCAAGGGGAGGCUUCAUUAGAAUAACUUCUGAAAUUAAGCACAGAGUCCCAGACAGAGAUCUUAUUGUGUCGUUGGAUAGCACAGCUCUGCCCCCUCCACUCUGAUACUUGUUGAAGUUUAUUUUAAAAGUUGCAGUCAAUAUUUGAGUGUUUUGAAUGUUUUUGUCCACUGUAGAAGGAUUGUGCCAGUGUAAGCACAGAAUCUGCUGUCACAAGGUGUUACACCUUUCUGUGGUUUUGAAGGAUACAGGUCUUUUUCACUCCUUAUACAUGUUAAAUUAUCUGCACUGCCCUUACUUUAGAAUUCCAGUGUUCCAAAAUUAUUAUUUUAGAAGAAAAUAAGGAUUUUCAAGACAAUUGUAUAUUUGCUGGUAGCUGUGUGAGGAUAAAUAUCAUUUUAUGAGUUUGCUGUCAUCAGAAUGAAGCCAACUGCCUACUUCUCAGCUCUAGCAAUGCAGCUGAUAAACAAUUGCUCAUGUAGCUAAUGGCAUCAAAAUUUAUAAUUUAAAUAUAUAUGGCUGGUUUGAGCUACUGAGAGAAUGAAUAUAUUGCUUUGCAAGGUACAGUUGGUCUUCCAAAACAUUCCUGGAAUGGGAACUAGCUGAAACCAGCUUUAAAAAGUGAUUUCUGGUGGUAGAAGCCAUAUGCACUGUAGUGCUGUUUCUGUAUAAUACUUGAGUGCUCAUCUCCUGGUGCUACAGUAUGUCUUGCUAACUCUUUGAUAUUAGCAUUGCUAAUUUUUCUUCCUACCUUUUCUUGAAUGUAUGAUGUGUGCCUUUUGAGUUACUCUGGUGUGAAAUGGUAAAGCAGUGUUGCAGUACUUUUGUACAUAUAAUCUGCACUUUAGGGAAAACAUUGCUUAGAAAGGGAACUUCCAGAAUUCAAUUUUAAAGUAGAAUUUUAAAAUAAUGAUAAGGUUUACAGUAUCAAGCAUAUUAAUGCAACGUACAAACUAAAGGGGCACUUUAUUUUAGUCUAUUUUUGUAUGUAAUAUUUUUGUUAUGUAAUAGAGACAAAACCAGAGCCACAGUGUAUCUUUCAAAAAUAGCUUUUUCUGCUUACAAGUUAAUUUGAAAGAACCAAGUGUGGCAACUUGAACUGCAGUUUUCAUUCACCAGUGGAACCCACUUCUGUAUUAAAAGCAUAAUUGCUUUUAACACAGAAGCCUAAUUCUGCUUUUGCCCUUCAUAGCUAUUCUUUUGGUGAAUGUUACAGCUCCAUUCUGUGCUGGUUUCCCAGAGCAAGUAGUUCUCACAAGCUGUUACAAUCAAACCUAUCCUGUGCCUGCUUCAUCUCUAGAACACAGAAUCACUGAAUAGCUUGGGUUGGAAGGGACCUUAAAGAUCAUCUAUUUCCAACCCCCCUGCCAUGGGCAGGGACACCAUACUUGAAAUUAAAUCUGAAAACCAAAAGGGAGCUGACUUUUCCUAGUGGAGCAGUAUUGAAUGUAUUAAUCUUUUAAAGUCUGGAAAGAAUUGUGUUACUGCCCUGUUAAAUAUUUCUGGAAGGUCAGUUAUUAUUUGUGAAAGUGUUUUUAAAAGAAUGGAGUCUCAUCUCCAAAAGAAUUAUAGUUUUAACAUUGCAAAUGUGCAUUAAAAAAUUGAAAAACAAAACAAUGGAACUUUUCCCAGUAGUGCAAACUUUUAAGCACAAAAACAUUCUUUUCUUCCACAAUCAUGUUAGAAAAAAAAACCUUCAUAUUUGAUGUACAUGAUGAGAGAGAUGUUGGGUUGAUUUCUUUGUCAUGCUAUUAAUCAAGCUGUCAGCAAGAAACAGUAGUGCUGGGAUCUUGUGUCCUGUGUGGCCAUCUGUGUUGGGAAGACUCUAAAAUUUGGAUGGCUACAUAGCUCCUGACCCAACGUAGCCUUUGAUGCAUUUCAUUCCUUUUGAAGACAAAAGGAUAUGGUUAGUGUUUUAAAACAGAACUUGAGCUCAAGGCCCAAAAUGCUCCAAUAGAUGAUAGAAUGUGAAAAUGAAUGAAAAACUGUCCAUUUUAAAGUGGCAAAAGAAUUACUUGGCAAUGACUCAAGAAGUAAUCACUCCUGAAUGUGUUUUCCUGUGUAGACAGGGAGGGGGUAACAUGUUUUGGAAUAUGUUCCAGUAGUAGGGUUGUGUUUAAGCACAAAGGGUGAAGAUUUAAAAAAAAAAAAAAAGAAUUUUAGGGGAAGUAUCAUUGUUCUUUUAGAUCAAACUGAAUCAUGUAAUGAAAGAUGUAGAUUAAAUUAAUGUGGAAAUUUUAUUUUUGCUGAAGUAAUAGACAGAAAUAAUUUAUUAACAAUAAUUUACUUAAUAUUGCUUUUUUAAUAUAUAUAUUAUUGCUUGCUGAUUGUUUCUUUCAUGGAGAAUUCUGUUUGGCUGUAAGCAUUCUGAUCUCUGUUUCCAAGUAAAUCUUUAUUUAUGCCAUAAUUCUUUUUUUCUGUAGAGAAUCUUGGUAAACAUUUCCUUGCAAAAACAAGGAUUUUAUUCUUUAACAGCUAAUAAAUAUUUUUUUCUUUUUAAGUUGCUUUAAAGUGCUUUAACUUUUCCUUUCUAACUCUGAACUUUCCUCUGUGUGGCUGCCUGUGAGGUACUAUUUCAGGAGAUGAAAUUUAUCAGGACAUUUUUCGUGACUUUUCUCAAAUGGCAUCAAAUAAUCCAGAGAAGUUAAAUCGCUUCCAGCAGUCAGAUUCCCACAAGUCCUAAGUGUCAAGAAGGAAAAGAACCUGAAGCUUAUAGUGCAAGUCUUUUUUUACUAUAACAGAAUGAAUUGUAUGCAUUUUGUUAGAUAGUUUGGAUAAAAUGACCACUCCAAUGUAGCUUUAGAUUGUGGUAGCUGGGGAAGUGUAUGAGUUGGUUUAUGUUCUCCAGUACAUAUACCUCAGCAGCUGAAGAUGUUUCAAGCCCUGAGUCCCUGCUGGCUGAGUGCAAAGCAGCCCCUGCUGCACGGCCAGCGUUGGCAGCUCACCCUCGGGGCUGCAGGGGCUCACAGCAGCUUUGCUACCCAGGGUCACCCGCUGGCAUCUGUCCCCCUGCUGCCAUAAAGAAUGUGCCUCUGACAAGAAGGUCUGGGUUGCAUUUUCUGGGACUGUUUGAAGGGAAUUUGGGCAAUGAUUUCUGAGUUGUCCUUCCAUUUUUGGGACUGCAGCUCAACAGAUUCUCUUGUUCCUGCGGUGACUCUGGUUAGAGGUAGGCUGUCCUCUUUUGCAAGCUCUUUCACAGUGGAAGCUCAAGCACCAGGCUGGCCUUUUUGCUGGUGACUGCAGGUCGGUCACAAAGGGAUAUAUCCUGGGGACCAAAUUCCUAAGAGCAGUCCAUUUUCCUUUUUUUUUUUCCUUUUCAUCUUAAAUUAAACUUUCAGUGCAGCAAGUAUCCUUCUAAAUGAGCAUGUGGAACCUUUCAUGAAAAAUAAACUGAAUCCUUUUGGACAUGAUGUGGGGUUUGUUUGUAGUAUUUUGACUUGAAAACUUGAAAUUUGAGACACGAAAGUAAAUACUGAGCCAACAAAGUUUGUGUAGAAUAGUUGUACAAAGGCUAUUUCUACUUUUUGCUGUUCUCACUACAAGCCCUAGGCUUGUAUAAGUCUCAUGUCUUGUAGCCACUCUCAGUUUAGGGCAGUCAAUCCCUUCUAUCAGGAAACAGUAGCCCUUGUAUAAUUUGCAAUUAUGUGUAUGUUUAUGUGUUGUCUAAAUUAAGGUGAGCACAGGAAAAACUAGAAUUUCAGUGCACAUUUCUGUCAGGUAAUGAAUGAGCACAGUCUCCAACUGUGUUGUGAGGGCAGCAAGACAAUUUGCUUUAUGUAAUGGUGAGCUCCACUCUGCCCUUGUGCAUGUAUAAAUGGUGUCUCUAGAUAUAUGCUUAUAUAUCAGGUUAUUUAUACCUAGAUAAUAAUCCUUCUAAACCUCAAACCAGCACAUGCAAUUCUUUAUCAUCUAUUUGUCUACCCUAUGGAGACAGCUUAAGCAGAGUUUUUAGGCGACAUAGUAUCAAUGUGAGUUUUCAGUAAUCCUAAUAGCUGUGGCAUUGUUAACCUGCUGUUUAAGUGUAUUUAGGAAAUGAAUUGACUUUUCUCUGUGAAAAGACAAGCAAAACUUGGAUAAAACAAAUUGACAUCUGUAAACUAUGGUAAAGUUAAACUCUCUGGCAUGUUAAGUUUUAAGAAGGUAUUUCAAACAUUUAUAAUUUUGCAUCAAAUGUAAUAGUCUGCAUAUUAUUAUUGCUACAAAAUUAGUAGUGUUGUAGAAUUGUCCAGUGGAUUUUAUUUCCAAGCAGAAUAAUCUUACAAGACAGUUCUUGCUUUGUAUGUGGUCUAAUUAUGGUAGGAAAAGCAGAUUCUGCCCAUUUAAAGUGCACAUUUAGUCUGAAUAAUAAGAAACUUAAGGAUAUCACCUGUAAGCAGUAAUUUUUAUUAAGUUGGUUUUUAAAUAGCUGCCUAUGAAAUGAUAAUAUACUUCCUAAUCAGCAGCAUUUACCAGCAAAUGGGUGUUUUAGUAGAUGUUAGUGAAAGAAAGAUUCCUGGAGUACAGAUGGGACAAUGUAAUAUAUGAGUGCAUAAUAUACACCUUAGACAUAGGUUUUUCUAAAUGUUUGUCUUUCCCAGCCUGGCUGGCAGGCAGUGUGGUUGGCUGGAAUGUAAAGCUGCCUAAAGCUUAGUGGUAUAAUUGCUGUUUCAGUCCAGGCUGCUGGAGAACAGCUCUGAGAGACUUAGUUCAAAUCUUCACUGGUGAUUUCCUCCCUUGACACAAAUCUCUGUGACAAAUUCUGCAGGAUGAUUUCUCUAGACUAAGAAGUUGCUUCCCUGGAGCUCUACAUGUCCAUGUGUUGUGUUCCUGACUCUCAUCUGUCUGGGAAGCAGUAUCAGCCUGUCUGUGCUGAAGGAUGAAUCCCACCUGACUGACGGGUGGUGUGACUUGUCAGGAGCACUGGACUUCCAAUGGCUUAGGGAGUACGAGUGUCACUUGUGGUCCUCAGCCUUGUUCCCCUGUCCUUUUGGGUAUGGUAGGAUGUCCAGUAUAAACUGCACUCAGUUAAAGCCUUUUUCAGGUCAGGUGCAAUGGUAACGUGUUGCUUAUCAGCAGAAAUGAAUGUACUAUUAAGUUUGAUGGCUCAGUCUCACCAGGCUCUGGCAGGCCCCUCUGUGGCACGCAGGACUCAGCCCUCAGUAGUGUGAUUAUCACCACAGCUCUGGAGAUCUGGAUUCCAUAUUGAGUUUUGAUUCAUAUUAAUAUUCUGCUCAGUAAUAUUAGGAAACUUCCAUCUCUAUUGCAAGGGAAGUCUGAGUGGAAUAGUAGACAGUAAGGUUCCAUUGUGGGUUAAUAUCUUGUACUUUGUACCAGGAAAUGGAAAGAUUCAAUUCCAGUGCAUGUUUGUCUUUAGGUAUGAAAUACAGUAGUGAGGGACAAAGCAGAAGAUUCCUAACACAUUUUAAAACCAUCAUUCACAUGGAUUUUUAGUAAUUUUCUGUAUUAGAUAGCCAAUUGAAGUAUAGUAUAAUAUCUUUCCUAUUUAUAGAUCAUGUGUUCCAAAAGUCUCUUGGAACUCAGUUUACAUUCUAAUGCAUCUUGAUUUCAGCCAUGUAAUGGAUGUCCAUUGCAUGUUGAUUAAAAUAGUGUCUGUGGUGGCUCGUUAGUGAUAUCAAUUGUUUUGACGGUUCAUAAGGUUUCAUGUUUUAUGUCAGUAGCAGUACAGUGCAUAUAAACUUAAAUUUCUGAAUGAUCAUAUUGAAUUAUGCCACUACCUGUACUAGACAGUUGGAAUUUGUUCACAAGAAUUUGGGUGAAGGUGAAUUUGGAUUGUAGAGGUAUUUCUUUGCUUUCACAAACAGCCCACAUUGCAAUCGGAUGGAUGUGUGUUCCAGGUGCUCAUUAGUACAUUGUGGACUUCAGCCUCUCUGCCCGUUAGGACCUGAUCCGGGAAGUCACUGAUAUCAGUGGCAGCACUGGUUUUGGAGAUUCUGGAUUGUACCAUUCGUGGCUUUUAAUGUUACAGUGCUAAAGGAUCCUGUAUUAAUACUGCAUUUUUCACUCUGUGGGGUUUUAUAUUUUACAUGUUUGUAUACUGAACUGAAAUAGUUUUAGAAAAUGCAACCAGACCUUCCAACUGCUGUCAGCAAAUCCCUGUACAAGAGGAAGUUUCUCCUGUUUUGCAUUAUGACAUCAGUACACAUUUGUUGUCCAAAUUACUAGGUCUCCUGGAUAGAGCAUAACCUUUGUAGCACUAAACUAAAAAGGUGAGAACUAGAACAAGUGGAGGGUUGAUGUCAUGUUUCCAGGACUUCGGUGCUUCUCUGCAGCCAUCUGUUUUAAAUUGUGAAUGUUACCUCUGCUGCUUCAUCUUGAGAAUCUCAAAUAACACAGUGACUAUGAAACAACCCUUUGAUGAAACUGCAAAUAAUAAUAUGUAAGUACAAAGGACAUGAUAUUUUUACAGUGUCAAAAGGACUUAGCUGAUUAUUCUGAUUCUUCAAUACACAAAGUAUUUUGAGAAUCCAUUUUUCAGGCUACAAUCUGCCCCAUUCAUUAUGGACACUUUUUCCCAAGUUGGAGUUUAUGGCUUGUGCAUUCUGACAGCCAACAUGCCUUGCUCCCGUGCUUACACAAAGGCACAGUUUUAAAACAGGGACAACUCUGGAGAGGCACUACUGGGGAAAAGGAUGAGUGUACCACUUUGGUAUAUACCCUUCCAUAUGCUUGCUUUAUCUUUCUGCAUACACUAUUUUCUUGUUUCUCUUCCCAUGGAAGGAGAUGACAGAGGAGGAAAUAUUCCACUCACUUUUCUGUUAGGAGCCUAAGUUUCCAUGUUUUAACAGAAAUCGCCAUGAAAUCAUCCUCAAGCAUAGACGUUACUUUCCCCGAAGUAAUGAACUUUUUUUUUUUCCUCCGCGCGUUCCUCUGUACUCGGUGUUUUUUAAGCAUUCCAGCGGCAAAAUGUAAAAAAACCCCUUCCCCCCUUGAGCUGUAAUUGUACAGACUGUAUACUCCGCCCUCCUUCGCGUUAUGUACGGCUGUAGACUUUGUAUCUAAAACUUG